GCCUGCGUAGUCCAAUUGGCAGAGGCGCUGCACUCAAAACGCAGAUGUUGUGGGUUCGAGUCCCACCGCAGGUACCA
rnacentral:tRNA from 1 species